ensembl:lncRNA
GCUUUAUUACAUGGUUUACAUUCUCUGCAAACUGAUGUGUGACACACGUAUCAACGCCAAAAUAACAUAAAAACAAACUUCUUUUUUUUUCAGCUUAAAAGGCAGGGUUCAAAACAGAAUGACUUGUUGCCACUGUCCCUCUUCAUCAGCACUGACUGAACCCGUCCCCUCCUCUUCAUCAGCACUGACUGAACCCGUCCCCUCCUCUUCAUCAGCACUGACUGAACCCGUCCCCUCCUCUUCAUCAGCACUGACUGAACCCGUCCCCUCUUCAUCAGCACUGACUGAACCCGUCCCCUCUUCAUCAGCACUGACUGAACCCGUCCCCUCUUCAUCAGCACUGACUGAACCCGUCCCCUCCUCUUCAUCAGCACUGACUGAACCCGUCCCUCCUCUUCAUCAGCACUGACUGAACCCGUCCCUCCUCUUCAUCAGCACUGACUGAACCCGUCCCCUCUUCAUCAGCACUGACUGAACCCGUCUCCUCCUCUUCAUCAGCACUGACUGAACCCGUCUCCUCCUCUUCAUCAGCACUGACUGAACCCGUCUCCUCCUCUUCAUCAGCACUGACUGAACCCGUCUCCUCCUCUUCAUCAGCACUGACUGAACCAGUCUCCUCUUCUUCAUCAGCACUGACUGAACCCGUCUCCUCUUCUUCAUCAGCACUGACUGAACCCGUCCCCUCUUCAUCAGCACUGGCUGAACCCGUCUCCUCUUCAUCAGCACUGACUGAACCCGUCUCCUCUUCAUCAGCACUGACUGAACCCAUCUCCUCUUCAUCAGCACUGAUUGAAGUGGAUUUAACAAGUGACAUCAAUAAGGGAUCAUAGUUUUCACCUGGUCAGUCUCAUGGAAAGAGUAGGUGUUCCUAAUGUUUUGUACACUCAGUAUAUUAGGGCCGUUUUAAGCAAAAAUGCUUUAAUGUGAUAAACUGGAACAGCUCUGGGAGUUAUGGGUAAUAAAUGCAUUUAUAACAGUGAUGACAACAACAAAGAAUAUUUCUCCAAACUACAGCCAAGACUUUAAUUCAUUCUUAACCAUAAUUUCUGGAACUUUUUAAAAUAAUACUUUAUUUGAUCCUUUAUUUAACUAGGCAAGUCAGUUAAGAACAAAUUCUUAUUUUCAAUAAUGGCCCUAGGAACAGUGGGUUAACUGCCUUGUUCAGGGGCAGAACCACAGAUUUGUACCUUGUCAGCUCGGGGAUUCGAUCAUGCAACCUUUCGGUUACUAGUCCAACACUCUAACCACUAGGCUACCUGCUGCCGCACUUGACUAGAAAAUAGUGGAAAAAUCACAACAAUAGCAGCAUUUACAUAUAGGUUUACAUUGGCAGGGAAUGACUUAAACACUACGUUGUAGAGGUGUGUUGUGGUGUGUGUGUGUGUGUGUGUUGUGGUGUGUGAGUGUGAGCGAGAGUGUGUGUGUCUAUGACAGUGCUCCUUUCGUACAGUAGAGCUGGUAAACUGUGCGACUCAAAGCUGGACCCAAGUUCCUGAAAUGCAAACAGAACCAACAAUAAGCAGUCCAUUAAAUCAACGUCUGCCGUUCUUUUCAUACCUUCUCACCUUUUCAGUUUUCCAUAUCGGAUGGAGGAGAGUAGUUUCUCUCUUUCUGUGUCGCUGGGGCACUGCUCAUA